rnacentral:sRNA from 1 species
UCCUAGCCCCGAUAGUAGUGGAAAUCCUUUUUCUGGCUUCUUUAGACAGAAAAAGAUUGUAACGGAUAGCGGGAAUAGCU